GUUAACGGUCAUACCGCGCAUGUACCUACCGGUUCUCGUCUGAUCACCGAAGUCAAGAUGCGUUGGGCACGGUUAGUACUUAGAUGGGUGACCGCUUGGGAACUCCGUGUACUGUUAGCA
rnacentral:rRNA from 1 species